CGAAGACUUUGGUCUGAAAUCCCAAUCUGGAGACAGUAUGGUCCACAGGUUGUGUUUGUGAGGUCGUUGCUUGAGUCACUGUGACCGUGGGGGAGCCCCCAUGGGAGGACCAUGUUGGGAGGGAGAUGCCAGAGUCGUGACCUGAGUCAGCGUGACUUUCAAAGGGCUGACCUGAAGGUAGCUGUAUCUAUCUCCCUGGAAAACUGGUGCCUCAGACCUGGGGGCCUGCUGCUUCCAGCGCACGGUGUGUGCACAGGGCGAAGGGUCUGUGAGGAGGGUAGGAACGGGCCAACAGUCAGUGUUCUCCCCAAGCUGAACCAAGCCACUGAACGUCGGUUGAGCUCCUCCUGUAUUCCAGGCCCCGUGUUACACACCAGCCUGCAGAGGUGAACAACAUGGAUGUCUGCCCUGGUGGAACUGGGGUAGUAAGUGAGCAGCGGUUAAAUAAAUCAGCUACUAACAAGGAAUCUGAACCGAGGAGGGCCUCUCGUCCAGCAGUGCCUCUUUGCCGCAGGCUGUGGACACCCAAGCAGAGGUGAGGUGCGGGUGACAUGGGUCAGCCUGGAGCGGGCCCCACACAGCAGCGCAAACCGGCAGCAACCACAGAAGCGGUGUUGCCUGUGGGCCCAAAGCAGCGAUGGUGCUGACUGCUCCUGAGGGGGCAGCCACUCCCAGAGGCUGGUCAGCACCAGUGUUUCAGAGGGUCAUGAGCACAGGAUGGAGAAUUCUGGGUGUCUCCACCAUCACGCAGGACGAACGUCACAGAUGAACCACACGCAGCUCGACUCUGCGUCCACCGUGGAAAUCGUCACGAGACAGAGGCGAAAACGUUAAUGGAGAAUCAACACUGAAAUCAAGUCGUUCAAACCCCAAUGCACAGGGGCAUCUGAUCACACCGAAAUCUGUGUCUGACGAGCACAGAGAACUGGUGCAUAUGAAGUCAGAGAGCAGGACCUUAUUAGGAGAUGAGAAAUAGAAACAACGAUUUCUUGAAGGCAUUGCUGAAAUGCUGAAAAACAACAUUACAAAGAAAGAGAUUUUAUCCAAGAAAUUUUCCGACAUUUAAGCUGCUGUGGUGUUUGUAUAAAUAAAGAAUUACUUCGACUCACUCCCAGAGCUCACAUUUUCAGUAAUAUGCUCACAUAUCUUCCAGGAGUCGUUGCUAAUGAAAGUCAAGCUGCAUUUAUGAAUAUGAAUUAUUCACACCGGCCUGUUGAUACACAAGAGCUAAUUUUCAAGAUACUGUGGGUAAACACCAUAAAGUUGUAUUAAAUAUUCAUAUAAUCACUGUGAUAAUUAAUCCAUAAAGCAAUUAUAAUUAAAAUGAAAGUAUCUUGUCUUAUAAAUAACCAAGUAAAAUAGAACUUUAAAAGAUAAAAGGGCAUCACUCCACGUUUAUAUCUGUUAGCCCACUGUGAAGGGUUCAAUGAACCGUCUCUACCGUAUUCAUGUGUCCAGUCAGUGUCACUGAGCCACGGGACACGCUCUGAGAAAUGUGUCGUUCGGUGAUGCCGUCCUUGUGCUCACGCAAUCCUAGGCUGUCUAGCCUGCUGCUCGGCCAGGCUCCACGGUGCUGAUCUUACGGGACCAGCAUCGUACAUGCGGUCCCUCGCUGACCAAGACAUCAUGAUGCAGCACAUGAGUAUCAUUGCUUUUCAAGAAGCAAAGUCAGAGUGUGUUUCUCCAGGAGAGGAGACUUUAUGAGAAGAAAAUGAGGUCUCUCAAGGCCAGAAUCCUGGAGGAUUUGGGAUUAUAAUGCUGGGAUUGGAAUUCUCAUCAAGCAAGAACAGGGUCCUGGUACCCGACACCCGCACAGGGAACUGUUGGUGUGUUACACACGUCUACAUUCCCCUUCCUAACCCUCCCGUGGAUGAGAGGCUGUGGUCUCGUAGAUCAGAUGACUGAGAGGGUGUGCUGCCACCCCAUUGUCUCCCGUCCCUCAGCAAACCAGGGGGUGAGAAGGAUCGGGACAGACAGAAGGCGGAAACAGAAAUUGUAUUUAAUUCCAGGCAACACAAGCUACUCUGAUUAGUUUAAACAACGAAGGUCGUACUUCCAAGGAUCAGAUGGUUUGCCUAGUUGCUGCAUCUGGAGGAACGAGCUGGAGCAAAGAAUCCAGGCGACCCCGUUCCCAGCCUCGGAUGCUCUGCGUGGUUGGGGAGAUCGCUCUCCCGCAGGAUAAAGACUUGUUCCCCCAGACACGUCCCCAGAGGGCAGGCAGGUGGUCGACAUGCAUGGCGGACGGUAAAAGAAGUAAAAGUGAAUCCAGCAGAAGUCAAGGGGCAACACGAUGCUGCCACCCAUAAAAAAAACCCCAUACGUGCACAGCAUGCGCCCCAACCACCUCUGGUUUCCAGAAGAGGCCCACGAGGCGAAUGGAUGUAGAUCAGACCUAGGAGUGAGGGUUACUUGAAUAACAUGCAUCGUUGCACGUCUUCAUCAAUACACUCUUUCAAAACCUCAAACCUCCUUCUCCAUGGAAUCCAGCAGGCCAGUCAUUUCCUAACUUUUUCUGGGCAUUUCUAGAACUAAUUUCUAGACCUCACCACCAUUUAAACUUGAAUUUUUCAUGUGUUUUUUUUUUCAGCUGAUUUAUUCUCACUGUGUCGAUCAGUACAUGUGUAUUUAGCACCUGCUCCAGGCUGCACGAGGUGCUACAUGUGAUUGCUGGGAACCCAGAGGGUUGGAUGGGAAGGGAAGGGCUACACACGCAGAGCAAGAGCAGGGUCAAGCCCUCAGCCGAGUGCCAAGCCUCAAGCUGUGCAGCUGACUUCCUUCUGACAGAAAGAAUCCAAGGAAAGGGUUCCUGCUAAUCAGUGUUUUACUCUCAGGGCCAGUCCUGAGGUAGAGGAGAAGCCUUUCCACAAUUAAGCAGCUGAACGGUCACUGUCCAGAUGCUGCCAGUUUCAUUUUUAUUGGACGCUGCGUGAGCGUAAUUGUGAGUCCAAGACAAAGCAGAGACCGCAAAAGAGAAAUACGGUAAACGUUUAAUCUCGUUAAUAGGUUAGCAGGAAACACAUGCUCAAAUUAGAUUACAAUGUAGUUUUCUCUUCACAUUUAAAGUUGCACAAGGCCCAUUACGCAGUAUGAGCAACCAGAACCACUUCACACAAAGAUAUUUUGUACUUGAAAAAAAAGACUACAUUUUAGAAUGCAAACAGAAUAAAGUAAUUUCAUGUCCGAAUAUAGAGAAAUAAGUUUGUAAGCCAUUUAACUGGUUAUGAAGCGGUAUCCUUAAAAGCUGGCUUAAAGCCAUAUUUAUAAGCAUUUUUUUCUUUGAUUAAACGUUUUUCUUUAAUGCCUUUCGAGAAUGUCAGUGAGUGGCUAGCCAUAUUUCUGAGCCACAGAUGAAAGCCACUCCACAUAAAGAAGGAAAUCAAUUUGUGUCUCUCCAUGUGGCAGUAACUUUGGUGCAGGCUAGAAUAAAAUGUCCUUUCUUCCUCUCCUUGUGAGCGAGACCUUCAGGAGAGCCUCAGCCCCUGCCGUGUUUCACUGACGCAGGCAUGGACAUCAUAACUUCCCAUCAGUGCGUUUGCAAACCAUUCCUCUCCAUGUUUGAAAUGCACUCGUGCAGAAGCUGAGCAGGUCCCAGGGUCGCGCCCGGCUGCCCUGGAGGAAGGAGGGUAGAGGACGACGGAGGUAAAUCGUUAGAUUAAUCCAGCGAGAAGGACGUGGGACGUGGAGCAACAGAGCGCUCGAGUCUGGUUAAUUCCAAGAUGUCCUACUGACUCUUCGUGUUUCCUGGGUUCCCUGUAAUGUUGAAGUGUCCAUGUUUCCAAAAACCCAUGUCUUCAAACAGUGACUAUGGAAGGAACUUAAAGUGAACCGUGCAUUUGAACUUUCCAAAAGAGUCUCAGAGAGCAGAGGCGGGCCCUCGUCGAGGCGAGACAGGCAGAUCUGUGAAUUAACUGUUCAGAGAUUGAAGUGGGUACCGAGGAUCCCUGGACUUCCCCCAUUUCUUCCUCCUUAGUUGGCACAUCGUUCACCAAGCUGCUGGAGCCAGAAACCUGAACUCAUGCUCUGCCUCUCCUUCCCUCCCCCACAACGCCUGGGACCCCAUGUUUGCUGGCAGGCCCAUUUCCCAGCUCUCUCCAGGGGUCCUGCUGCAUCCACGGACACGGUUCUGAGUCCCAACCAGGGACAUGACUGAGCGUCCCUGACCGGGAGGCCAUCUCAAGACUUUAUCUCGGCCUGCUUCAAACUGCCUCCCCAUAUGCAGCCAGAGCCACCUCAGAGAACCAACACCUGCUCCCACGGCUGAGCGGUGAUCCCCCUUUCCCCCGCCUCCCGUCUCCUGAGACCCUCAGAGGUGAGCCCCUUUCCCCGCCUCCCGUCUCCUGAGACCCUCAGAGGUGAGCCCCUUUCCCUGCCUCCUGUCUCCUGAGACGCUCAGUGGUAUACAGGUUGUUAAACAUCUCUCCUGUUGGAAAGAUGACGGUGGAGUGGGAGAGCGGGAGAGAAAGAGAGAGACGGAGAGAUGGAGGGAGAGGGGAGUGACAGGCAGAGAGAUGGAGGGACUGCGAAAGAGACAGACACAGAGGGCAGGAGCCGAGAGGCUGUGACAUGUGGGAGUCAGAAAUGGAACGCAGUGAUGACAGGUGACAUUUCUUGAGCAACUGUUGUGCACCAAAUACUGCCAGGCACCCGCUUCCAUACUGCUCAAUUCUCUGCACAAUCCACUGAAACGCAUCUUGGAAGCGGUGUGGUUGAGGCUGAAUAAAGAGCGUUGACUCUGGGUCCACGUUCCGGCUGCUGUGAUCUGCACUGUGGGCUCACGGACACCCUGUGGAGACCUCACCUACUGAAUCAAGUACGGUUUGUCAAGGCCUAACCCAAAGGAACAGGUGCUGCCGAAGUUUGCACCCUUGUCAGAGUUCUUCUCCUUUAGAGAUGGAGUUGGACUCACAGUCGUCUCUGGAACGUGACGAGCAUCCGGCGGGAAGUGGCUGUGUGGGCUGAGAACUAACUACCCACACCCUGGGAGCCGGGUACGUCUCUCACGGCUGCUUCGGGAGGUGAUUGUUGGGGGUGCUUGACUUCACGAUCCCAUUUCCUACGUGACAACAAAACGAGGAUAUGUGGUGACCUGUGUGGUUCCUGGAGCUCCUGCAGAGUGGACGAGACGGGGCAGCCACCCACCGGAGAGCAAGGGAGGCUCACUCAGGAGUAGCUGAGGGAGGAAGGAUGUGGUAUCGAUUGGGCCAAUACGAAAGAGAGGGGAGGGAGUGGAGUGUAGGCCACUGGGAUUCUCCCCUUGUGACAGGGACACAUUGACCAGAUAGAGCAAUUACUCAAAAUAUUAUACUUUUUAAAAUAAAUGUUGAAGAAGAUGUUUCCUAAAGUUUGUUAGGUAAGCAUCUUCCAAUAGAUGCAUCCUUUAAAAUAUAUGAGGCAUAUUUCUAUAGUCGGCUUAACAUUCCUGGGUGCCCUGGAGGCCCCGUUCACAGGGGGUCUUUGAGGCUCUGCCAUUCAUCCGUAAACCGCAUACACUGUCUUAUACCCAUGUGAUUAAAGAUAGUUCCUAAAUAUGCUCACAACUUUCACCACAUAUUUCAAUUUCAAAGGCGUUACAACUUUUUCUGAGAGAGCUUUCAUUUUACGCCAAGUUACAGAUAAGAGGAUGUCACAGAGUUUCUGCAUAACCUUAAAUAAACCAUGGUCCUUUGAGAGAGCGUCCAGGAGGGGCACGAAGGGUGGGGUCCAUCUGAGAAGACGGA
ensembl:lncRNA